GAGUUUGAUCGUGGCUCAGAUUGAACGCUGGCGGCAUGCCUUACACAUGCAAGUCGAACGGCAGCAUGAUCUAGCUUGCUAGAUUGAUGGCGAGUGGCGAACGGGUGAGUAAUACAUCGGAACGUGCCCUGUAGUGGGGGAUAACUAGUCGAGAGAUUAGCUAAUACCGCAUACGACCUGAGGGUGAAAGUGGGGGACCGCAAGGCCUCAUGCUAUAGGAGCGGCCGAUGUCUGAUUAGCUAGUUGGUGGGGUAAAGGCCCACCAAGGCGACGAUCAGUAGCUGGUCUGAGAGGACGAUCAGCCACACUGGGACUGAGACACGGCCCAGACUCCUACGGGAGGCAGCAGUGGGGAAUUUUGGACAAUGGGCGAAAGCCUGAUCCAGCAAUGCCGCGUGUGUGAAGAAGGCCU
rnacentral:rRNA from 1 species